rfam:Onchocerca ochengi, WGS project CAWC01000000 data, contig: 00191_363
GUCUCAAAGACUAAAUCAUGCAUGUUGAAAUUCAAAUAAACGUAUACUGUUGAAAUCUCGAACGGCUCAUCAUAACAACUAUAACGUACUUGAUCUUGAUCAUUCAGCUGUAACAAUUCUAGAGCUAACGAGCGCCAAAAAUUGGAGAUUUGAACCAAUCGGAUUAUUGGCCCGUUAAUUGGUGACUCUGAUGAUUAGCUGCGGCUAAUCGCAUGGUUUUGCCCGGUGACCGGUCUAUCAGGUGUCUGCCUUAUCAACUUUCGAUGAUAAUUUAUGUGGCUAUCAUGGUUGUUACGAGAAUAAGGGUUCGAUUCCGGAAAGAAAGCCUGAAAAACGGUUACCACAUCCAAGGAAGGCAGUAGGCGCGCAAAUUAUCCACUACCAGAAUGAGCAGAUAGUAACGAAAA